rnacentral:lncRNA from 1 species
GCUAGGAUCUCCAUGGCCGCCCAAAUCAGCCUGGGCAUGGUAGUCAGGGCCGUGGUGGUCGUCGUAGUGGUGGAAGAACUGGAGGACAGAAUUAUGUUCAUGGACCUGCCCAAGCCAAUCUCUCUGAAGAGACCGAGAGUGCUAUACACAGCUUAUCUACAGAGGAGUAUCAGACCUUCCGACGAAUGAUGGAAAAGUAUGAAUCAUCUUCUAACACCACACCUUCUACUCUGGA